CGGCAGACGGGUGAGUAACGCGUGGGUAACCUGCCUCAUACAGGGGGAUAACAGUUAGAAAUGACUGCUAAUACCGCAUAAGACCACAGCACCGCAUGGUGCGGGGUAAAAACUCCGGUGGUAUGAGAUGGACCCGCGUCUGAUUAGCUAGUUGGUAAGGUAACGGCUUACCAAGGCGACGAUCAGUAGCCGACCUGAGAGGGUGACCGGCCACAUUGGGACUGAGACACGGCCCAA
rnacentral:rRNA from 1 species